rnacentral:rRNA from 1 species
GGGCCCGCACAAGCGGUGGAGCAUGUGGUUUAAUUCGAUGCAACGCGAAGAACCUUACCUACUCUUGACAUCCACAGAAGCCGGAAGAGAUUCUGGUGUGCCUUCGGGAACUGUGAGACAGGUGCUGCAUGGCUGUCGUCAGCUCGUGUUGUGAAAUGUUGGGUUAAGUCCCGCAACGAGCGCAACCCUUAUCCUUGUUUGCCAGCACUUCGGGUGGGAACUCCAGGGAGACUGCCGGUGAUAAACCGGAGGAAGGUGGGGACGACGUCAAGUCAUCAUGGCCCUUACGAGUAGGGCUACACACGUGCUACAAUGGCAUAUACAGAGGGCAGCAAGUUCGCGAGGACAAGCAAAUCCCAUAAACCGUGGCUCAGUUCAGAUCGUAGGCUGCAACUCGCCUACGUGAAGGCGGAAUCGCUAGUAAUCGC